rnacentral:lncRNA from 1 species
UGAGAAUUAGGAAAUCAUUAUAAAUCCUACGGGAUGAUUUAAUUAGAUUUACGACUAUGAGUAGUAUUAUGUUAACUAGAAUUAUCGGAUUAUUGUGGCAUGAAUAUAUUUAUGUUAUCUGCUCAUUGUGUGCUACAUUGGUGUCGGUACUUGCUCGGGCCAGAGCCAGGCUUCACGUGUAGGUGCCAGUCCUGUCCUAGAUUGCUAUAGGCAAAUAGGACUUGUAUAUGAUGCGCAUAGCGCCAAUCUUUACGUGAUUGUAGUAUUAGAGCGUAAAUUAUUAUUACAUCCAAUCUUGUUCAUGUCAGGAUAUUUUUGUAUAAACUCGUGUGUUAGCAUAUGUCGAUGAGCACUCAAUAUGAUAUGUUUGUCUAUACGAGAUUAUGUAAUUAUCGGAGGUUAUCUGUUUAUUUAUGAAAUAUUUUGACGUGUUGAACUAUGGAGAUAUUGUAGGCUAUGGUAAGUAUUUUCAUACUAUACGUAGUAUGUAUAUUUUGGAAACUAUACUUAUUUUACUGCAAGGGGUUAUUAUGUUUUUGAAAAGGUUUUUACAGAGCUUUAUUUUUAGGUCCACUCACCCUUAUUUUUCGCCCUUCCAGGUUUUAAUAGUAGAGCUUUCGUGUCGACGAGGACUUUCUAGCAAAACGUUGUUAUGGAAAUACUCCUGACGGUAUCAAUCUUAUCCUACCUUACUGUACUUAUGCUCUGACAUCACGUGUGAAAUGGGUUCAUUCUCGCUCACAUGUGCACUCCUACCUUUAGGCACUUUUAGGUUUAAAUUUAUUCCAUAUUUUCCACAUCACUACACUUUAUGGCUU